UCAGCGGAUGUUGCUUAUA
rnacentral:siRNA from 1 species